rnacentral:rRNA from 1 species
GACAGAGGCCCCAAGCGUUAGGCGGAAUCACUGGGCUUAAAGCGUGUGUAGGCGGAUCGUUAAGUGUCUUGUGAAAUCCCACGGCUCACCCGUGGAACUGCUGGGCAUACUGGCGAUCUUGGGCCAACUAGGGGCAGCCGGAACAAGCGGUGGAGCGGUGAAAUGCGUAGAUAUCGCUUGGAACGCCGAAGGUGAAAACAGGCUGCUGGGGUUGUGCCGACGCUGAGACACGAAAGCCAGGGGAGCAAACGGGG